AUUGAACGCUGGCGGCAUGCCUUACACAUGCAAGUCGAACGGCAGCGGACCUUCGGGUGCCGGCGAGUGGCGAACGGGUGAGUAAUAUAUCGGAACGUACCUUUCAGUGGGGGAUAACGUAGCGAAAGUUACGCUAAUACCGCAUAUUCUGUGAGCAGGAAAGCAGGGGAUCGCAAGACCUUGCGCUGAUUGAGCGGCCGAUAUCAGAUUAGCUAGUUGGUGAGGUAAAGGCUCACCAAGGCGACGAUCUGUAGCGGGUCUGAGAGGAUGAUCCGCCACACUGGAACUGAGACACGGUCCAGACUCCUACGGAAGGCAGCAGUGGGGAAUUUUGGACAAUGGGCGCAAGCCUGAUCCAGCCAUGCCGCGUGAGUGAAGAAGGCCUCGGUU
rnacentral:rRNA from 1 species